GCGAGUAUAGCUCAGUGGUAGAGCACAUGCUUAGCAAGCGUGGGGUCCUGGGUUCAACCCCCAGGACCUCCA
rfam:Camelus ferus unplaced genomic scaffold scaffold434, whole genome shotgun sequence.